GAUGUCUGUCCUCGUGAUACUUACAUUCUAGUAGAAGACAGAAAUUUUUUUUCUGCUAGAAUGUAAGUAUCAUGAGGACAGUCAUC
rnacentral:pre_miRNA from 1 species